rnacentral:lncRNA from 1 species
CAAGAGCAAGGGGAUACAUGGAGAAUUCCUGUCUUUCACCUAUACUGAGCCUUCGAAGAUUUUCAAACACUGUUUAGCACGCUGUAUAUCCCUUGAGAAAUGUCCGAGACUGUUUCUUCAGCAGUGCCCUGCCUUGAAGCCUUACUUGAACAGUCAUGAUGACAGUGAAAUGUCAGGGAACAGGGUUCAAAGAUGUGCUGCCAGACUUCCUGAUUCGUUGUUCGCUGCCUGAGUUACCACUUCCUUGAAUUCAUUAUGGGUCCUCUGAAUGAAUUCAGUACCACCUUUCAGGCUAGUGAGUCAAUGAUUGGUUAUUUCCAUCCAGAAAUGAAACAACUAGUGCGGAAGUUUUUAGGGACAUUUGUAUAGACCAAGGUUAUGACAUCUGCCAGAACCAUCACUGAAGUCCAUGCUGAGGAGAGGGAAAACCAACAUCCAGACGAGGACCUGGCUAUGGGUGUGGGUACACUCCCUACAUAUCUACAUGACAACCCUGAUGUUCCAGCAUAAACCAUCAGAAAGCUUUUCAGUUCUGUGAGACUUUAACCUUGGGGGACCAGUAUGAUUGUGAAGAAGUUAUCCAUUGCUGACACUACCUAGCACAACCCAAUCUUCUCCAGGAUUAAAACCUACAGCCUUCUAAUAAAAAAUCUUGUGUUGGACCUAUUGAGCUUACAGGCAGAGCUGGCUUGGUGGAAAUGAUAUCAAAAGGCCCACUGAAACCAGAGAUUACAUUUUAUGGUGAUGAUGUAGUGUGACCAAUUGCAGAGUUUGUGCAUAUUAGACAGUUGCAUAGAAAGAGUUUACAUUUUGUUGGAAUCCUUGUUGCAGAUAUACUCGGGUUACAGAUUUGCGGUAGCUGUCAGCAACCAAGAAACCAGUAACCACUCAAAAUAAAGGACCCACAUGACCAGACAACAAGAUUAUAAAUUCAAGCGAAGUGUGCCAAAGUUCAAGUCUGGAGAUAUCAUUGGCAAAUCUUAGACAUUUUUAGAUAUAAGUUCAGUCAGUCAGUGUUAA